GUUAGGAAUAUUGGACAAUGGGCGCAAGCCUGAUCCAGCCAUGCCGCGUGAACGAUGAAGGCCUUCGGGUUGUAAAGUUCUUUAGCCGAUGAUUAUAAUGACUGUAGUCGGAAAAUAAGCCCCGGCUAACUUCGUGCCAGCAGCCGCGGUAAUACGAAGGGGGCGAGCGUUAUUCGGAAUCACUGGGCGUAAAGCGUGCGUAGGCGGUCUCGUAAGUUAGGAGUGAAAGCCCAGGGCUCAACCUUGGAAUUGCUCUUAAAACUGCAAGGCUAGAAUCUCGGAGAGGAUAGCGGAAUUUCCAGUGUAGCAGUGAAAUGCGUAGAUAUUGGAAGGAACACCAGUGGCGUAAGCGGCUAUCUGGACGAGUAUUGACGCUGAGGCACGAAAGCGUGGGGAUCAAACAGGAUUAGAUACCGAGUAGUCC
rnacentral:rRNA from 1 species